rnacentral:rRNA from 1 species
UACGUAGGGGGCGAGCGUUGUCCGGAUUUAUUGGGCGUAAAACGCUUGUAGGUGGCUACGUCAAGUCGGACGUGAAAUCUCCGGGCUUAACUCGGAACGGCCAAGUGAAACUGUCAAGCUAGAGUGCAGAAGGGGCAAUCGGAAUUCUUGGUGUAGCGGUGAAAUGCGUAGAUAUCAAGAGGAACACCUGAGGUGAAGACGGGUUGCUGGGCUGACACUGACGCUGAGGCGCGAAAGCCAGGGGAGCAAACGGG